CCACCCCUUGGACCCUGGGCACAGCGCCACCCAGGUCCCACUGUGGGUGGCAAUGCCCCGGAAACCAGCACCCUGCUGUGACUCUCCCUCUGUGAGGUCAGCAGGAUGUCCUGAGGGCUGCAGACCCCAGGCCUUAUCAUGUGAAUGCAGGAGAGUUAACAUGGUCCUGGAGCAGAAGUGCACUGUCUACAUGGUCUGUUCCCUGCGAGUGCCAUUUCUGGUCUUCUUUCUUGAUCGGCAUAGACGAGAACACACUCACCAAAUUGACACCAUGGACGCGGUACUGAGGUCUGUGGGGGCUCUAGCCCUGCUUCCACAGAGGUCUGCGCUGAGCCUGCACCCAUCUGGUCACUUUCAGGACCCAGCAGGCCUGCGGGGGCCGGUGAAUUAAAUGGGCCUGCAGGAGGACCAGCCUUGCAUCCUUCAGAGCUGCCCAGUGGCACUCAUCUCUGCUGCAUCGCCGCCAGGGACGUGGCCUCUGUCAUCUGCCAUCUCGGCGGUCGGGGGAGGAAGCUCCCGGAGUCCCUGCUUGGCUGAGCCACCAUGACAGCUCUUCCCGGCAGGCUGAGCCUGCGGUGCAGGCGGCCCAGGGGCCGAGUGCAUCAACCCCAGUUAUACAUUCGGGGAGUGGGGUAAUGACCACUGCGGUCUGUGGACCCACCGCCGUCACCAGGGCGCCACUUGUUCCUGACCCCACGUCCCCAGCUCUAAUGGGGCUGCGAAGCUGCUUCAGGUCUCCAGGGCGGCACCAUCCUUCCCCCGGCACUAGCCGCCUCUUCAGUUGGUGAGCCAGCCAUCCACCACUGCGUUGCUCCUUCGCUGGCUGGGAGCUGCUGGGAGCCUCAGCUGGAGGCAGCGCUAACAAUGCGAGAAGGCCAUCAGGAGGACUGGGGGCGGAGUGGUGGCAGGAUGGGACUCAGGUCGUCUCAGGCCCUCUGGCUGCCCUGCCAGGGGUGGAGGCAGAGAGAUCAGCGAGGAGAGGUGAUCUGGUCAUCCAGGUGAGACAGGACGUGACAAGGACCAGGGGCGGGUGGUGCGCUGGGCAGAUUCUGCACCCCACCUCCUCCUUUCGCACCCCAGCCAUCCCUCCCCUCUGGCGGGCCUGGUGGCUGACUUCUGAGGCUCUGAUGGAAGCUGCCCAUGGAGAGGCCUCAUGGUGGAGCUGAGGGAAGCCCCAUCAGUGAGGCCCUGAAUCAGCUGCACCACUUGAGUGAGCUUGGAAGCGAUCCCACCGCUGUCGACCCUUCUGAUGACACCGCAACCCUGCCCACCAUCUCAAAGCAAAGGAAACCACUGAGCCACACCUGGACUCCAGACGCACAGACACCAUUGGACAAUAAACCUAUGUUGUUUUAAGCCACUAA